GACGUUUGAUCCUGGCUACAGAAUCAACGCUGGCGGCGUGCCUCAGACAUGCAAGUCGAACGCGAAAGUACCCCUUCGGGGGACAAGUAGAGUGGCGCACGGGUGAGUAACACGUAGGUAAUCUACCUUCGGAUGGGGAAUAACAAUCGGAAACGGUUGCUAAUACCGCAUAAUGCAGCGGCACCUAAUGGUGACAGUUGUUAAAGCCGGGGGAUCGAAAGACCUCGCGUCUGAAGAGGAGCCUGCGGCGGAUUAGCUAGUUGGUAAGGUAAUGGCUUACCAAGGCUACGAUCCGUAACCGGCCUGAGAGGGCGGUCGGUCACACUGACACUGACAUACGGGUCAGACUCCUACGGGAGGCAGCAGUCGGGAAUUUUGGGCAAUGGGCGAAAGCCUGACCCAGCAACGCCGCGUGAAGGAUGAAAUCCCUCGGGAUGUAAACCUCGCAAGAACGGGAAGAAUAAGCGAGAGUUAAUAUCUUUCGUGAUGACGGUACCGUUUGUAAGCUCCGGCUAACUCCGUG
rnacentral:rRNA from 1 species